rnacentral:rRNA from 1 species
UACGGGGGGAGCAAGCGUUGUUCGGAUUUACUGGGCGUAAAGGGCGCGUAGGCGACCAUCGCAAGUCAAUUGUGAAAUCUCCGGGCUUAACUCGGAAAGGUCAACUGAUACUGCGAGGCUAGAGUGCGGAAGGGGCAACUGGAAUUCUCGGUGUAGCGGUGAAAUGCGUAGAUAUCGAGAGGAACACCUGCGGCGAAGGCGGGUUGCUGGGCCGACACUGACGCUGAGGCGCGAAAGCUAGGGGAGCGAACGGG